GAGAGCAGGUAAUCUGCAUUUGACAGGGACAAUCAUCCGAAGCAGCUUCUUAUCAAAAAUUCCCCGAUAUCGGGCUAUCCAUCUACAGCACGUUUCUAUGGUUCGUCCCAGUUUUUUUCCCGGGGAAUGUCCCGAUAAGAGCCGAAUAGUUCACCCUCGACAUCCUCGCGUCCGCCCGAGUAUCCCACGGCAGUCGGAGAAAAGAGAAUGAGAAAUUUUAUCGAUUUGUAUAUUCUUUAUUCGUGCACAAUGAUCAAAAGAGUAAUACGUGAACGAUCAAAUGGAUUCUUCUUCCGUUGUAACAGCUCGACAACAUUACCGUGAAAAAGUUGAAAUAUAACGCUUACGUAGAAAGAAGUAAGGAAUUUUUUUAUGCGUAUAUAGAAAUUUAUUUUUUUAAUUUUUUCUUUUUAUAUUUUUAGAUUUGCUCUAAGUCGAUAAUAUUCGAUAUUAUUUUACAUCGAGUAAUUCUAAUUAUAAUGCAGUUAAUCAAAUAUGUCUAACUGUUUCCAUGGGUUAUCCUAAUAUAGAUAUUUCUGGAAUUAUGCUCAUUUACUAUACCGCUCGCAUUCCCAAAUGAGAUAAUCGACAGCUCACUAACUUCACGUCAGUCAUUGCAAUAUUCUCUGCAAACCGAGAUCCAAUUCCCAGAGAAAUACGUUUCGUUUCUUAUCACGUACCACUUGGACAGUAUCUUUCGAGAGAAUCUUAACCUUCGUAUUAUGUCUUUAGAAAAAAAAAGAAAAAAAUGACAAAGUUCAUAAGAAUUGGCGAACUAGCUGUGAGGGAAAUAAAUUAGUCUUAAAAAUCAUACUCGUAAAUUUCUAAAUAACGUAGUAAUCCUACGAGAUUGAAGCGCAAGAAUUGUACGAACGUUUAAUAGCGAUAAUAACGAUGGAUUAUCUGUUUAGAGAGAAUCGAAAUAAUAAGAACGGUGAAAUGAUAAUACGAUCGAUCGACGCGAUUAAUUCUGAAUUCGUUGGAUACGAUUAUUUUGAAUAGUUUCAUCUGAAUGAUUUGUUAUAAUAAAUAUAUACCACAUGCAUAUAUGGAGAGAAUAAAUGAUGCCGUUAAUAAGAAAAGAAAAUAUCGAGGAGUUGUAUCGUCAUAACAAACCAACAAAGUAAAUUCUUGGGAAGAAUCGUAGAAGAAGUAAAAGAAGAAAAAAGAAAGAAAGGAAGAAAGAAAGAUUUUCUCUGGGAAGAGAAAAAAUAAGAACAUAAAAAAAUGUCAACGAUAUCAUAAAUAAAAAGAGGAGAAAGAACAAGAAAAGAAGAAAAGAGAAAAGAAGAGGAGAAGGAGAACAGAAUCCUGGAGAAGACGUCGAAGGACGAACGAGAACGUCCGUCGCUUUUUCGCGGGGACCUUUGCAGUGCGCAAGGGCGUUGGCGCUGAUGACGGACGGGUAACUGGAAACGGCAGAGAGAGACAGAGAGAGAAGAGAGUGGAAGUGUGGGUGAGAGGAGUAAAGAGGGAAAGGAGAAAAAGAGAGGGUGAGUGGAAGUAGGAUGUGGCGCGUUGUGGGGUGGAGGGGGUGCGCGGAAGGCGUCGAAGCUUCGCGCGACGGUAUGAGGAGGAUCGACGAGGAGAAAGAGAGAAAGAGAGAGAGAGAGAGAGAAAAUGAGAGAGAGGAAGGGAUGCUUCGUAGAGGAUAACGACGAGAGAGGGACGACGACGAUGAUGGUGGUGGUGGUGGUAAUAGUAGUGGUGGUAGUGGUGGUGGAAGAGGUGGUACAAGCAAAGACGAGUUCUCCCAGUCGCUCAGUCCGCGCCCCGACACGCAAUCGUACGCAUGUUUAUUUACUUGAUCUCAUCUCGUACGGACGACGAGAUAUUACGAGACGAUCGAACGAGUCCUCGAACUUUGGAACUUCCCGCUUCCAAUCUUCGUGGACGACGCUACUGAGAAAGAGAGCCGUACUCCUUGUUACCCGGCCGCAUAACCGUAAAUUUCUCGGACAACUUUCAAAGCUUAAGAGGAAGAAGGCGAGCGUUUGCGUCUUACGUAUACACGAGAAUCCUCGAGAGAUUUCGUUCCUGGUUUAUCAAUAUACGGGUACGUAAUUAUCUACUCUCGACGAAAGAAGCCACAACAAAAUAGGAUGAUCUAUUGUUUGUGUUUGAAACUAAUCUACGAAUAUGUCGCGUAACGAUAUGUUGGGAAAGAUUGAAAGAGAGAGAGAGAGAAAGAGACAGAAAGCAUGAGCAAACAGAGAAAAAGUGAGAUUUGUGAAAAUCCGCGUUAAAGCUUUUUCGCAAAGCUUUCUCUCUUAAUCUUUACGAACCCACUCACCAUUUACCAUCUUUCUCUCUCUUUCUAUCUCUCUAACACUCUGUAACCACUAGUCGAAACUUUCUUAAGACUUCCAGCGACGUAAACGACGUGCCACUCUCUCUAGGAAUUAUUUAUGAGAAGGUACAUACAAUGAACUACCUCCCUUGAGGACUAUACGAGCGGUGUUUCCAAUUUAUUGAGUUCACGAAUAGAUCCAAUGAUUCGUAGUAAAGAGAAUAAGGGAUUCGAUAGGCGUCUUGAGUGAUACAUUAGAUACAUUUAAUCAUUCUCAACUAAUUGAUAAGCUGUCGGAUAGAGGGAUCAGAUUAAAGGAUCUCUGCUAUUAUAUUGAUCGAUACUUGCUCUAUUUCUCUUCUUGAUCUUCGAAAUUUCUCGAUAGAUAUCUGUUUUCAUCCGUUCAUGUUAUUUAGAAAAUUGCUUGAUAAUGUUUAGAUGUUACGGUAUAUGUAUAAAUAUAUAUAUAUAUUUAUGUAUGUAUGUAUACAAGUAUAUAUGCAUGCAAAUUUCUCAUAUAAAGUAAAUGCGCUUGCUUAGAGGAAAUGUUCAAAUAUUUUGAAAGGAUCCAUAUAUUAUAAUAGAUCUAUUUCCUAAUAGAAGUUAUUACGUUGAUGGUAUCAGAAUUUUUUUCUAUGAUGUGAAGAUACAACGAAUAGAAAAGUAUGCUUGAACGUAGAUACCACAACGUAAACGUAUCUUUUCGUAUUUCUCUUUGAAUAUAAAAGAACGUUCUCCAUUACGUCUAGCUUAUUUCUAAUGGAUUUUCACGUAUAUAGGAUUUGUAAUUAUUGAUUAAAAGAAAAAGAAGGAGAACAGAAAACUUUGUAUUCUCUUCUAUUUUUUCUUUUUUACUCUUUAUCGUUUAUACCUCAUUAGAAAAAUUAUAAAACGGGUUAUACGAUUGUACGAGCUCGUUGUAACUUAUCGGCAUAGAAAAUAUCUAAUAAAAUGUAAAUAUCUACCGCGUAAAAGUUCGUAAAGGUUGAAGUAAAAAAGAGAGUGAGAGAGAGAGAGAGAGAGAGAGAGAGAGUGAAAAAAAAAAGAAAAAAGAUCUAUAAAACAUGCGAACAAAAUCUAAUGUUCUGAGAAAAAGUUUUUCUUAAAGUGUCGUUUAAAAAGUAUGUCGACCGAGUUACUCAGCCCUUAAUCCUUCGUCCUUUUAGCCCUUACGAACAAAGUAAACGACGUGGCUUUGUCGUUAUGCGACAAAGAAAAUGGCACGUAGCUACAUAUUAUAGCUUGAUAAAAUCACGUUGAGCGUUAAGGAAAGGAGCGUAUUAUUUCUUUCUUCUUUCUCUUUUUUUUUAUUUUUCAAAUUAUUUCAAAUAACAUAAAAAAAAUAUUUACAUGUCGAAUAAAGAAAAGAUCGGCAGAGAAAACAUGAAAAGAGAGACAAGAAGUCACUUGAAAUCCUCGAAAGUAUUUCUACGAGAUUCGCGUUGUUGAUAGAAUUUAGUAUAGAAGAAUCUAACAUGUAAAGAGUCGUAGAUUUCUAUAGGAUGUUUCGUCGUUACACGAUGUUACUACGAAUUGUUUGAUGUUAUAAGCUUUAACGGUUCACUGAAACGGUACUCGAUGUGAUGCAGCAUGUCGGCUGGUCGAGCACGAAACACGUAAAACUAGCAUGUAGCAAUCAGAACGAGAUGAAGCGUGAGUGGAACGGAAGAGUGAGAAACGAGUGGGAGAGAAAGAAGAGAAGGGUGAGACAGAGAUAGAGAAAAAGAGAAAAAGAGAGAGAGAGAGAGAGAGGAAUGGGCGCGGCCGACCGCUGACGAUUCGAUAGAAGAGGCGUUGAAAUCAGAGAGCCUUCGGAAAUUCGCUACAUCGCAAAGCUAUUGCGAAAAAUCGCACGUUCUACUCUUGCAGAUGUAACCUUUCCGCACACGUAGAUACAUACAUACAUACAUACUAUAUAUAAAUAUCUGCACAGACACAUACCAUGUAUAUAGAAAAUCGAGAAAAUCGUGAGACUGGAUCGUCGUUUCGUUCUAUACUCGCUUCGAUAUUUAAUUUUCCUUCUGUUUUACCAAUGCUGGAAAAGAGAGAGAGGGAGAGAGAGAGAGAGAGAGAGAGAGAGAGAGAGAGAGAAAGAAAGAGAAAGAGAGAAGUUUACCUUUCGUUUGUCGGGGUCUACAUUAGAGCGUUUCGUUGAAUCGAAAGCGUUGAUUGGAUUUGUUCGGAACGAAUCGAUGUCACUUGUGAAAUUUUCCUCGUUUCGUAUACCACGUAGCCCACGUAUUCCAUUUAAAUUUCUACUACACUCGGUAUCCUCUCUCUCUCUCUCUCUCUCUCUCUCUUCCUCUCUCUUUCAUUUUUUUCUCAGUCAGAUUAAUUUUGAUUUUCUUCAAAAAAGAAUAAUAAACGACCGACGUAUCCAAUAUACCUAAUUUAAACUCCCCCCAUCCUCUCCUUCCCCUGAACGUAGUUACAAAAUCUAGUUUUAUUAAUUUAUUUGUUAUCCGAUGGCAAGAGACUCACCACCAUUUAUCUAAAUUUUGGAAAAAUCGUUUCGCUAAUGAUUCGUUAACAUCGAAGGGAAGGACGUUGGCACGUUUUUAUCGGAGCUACGUCCGUUCGAGGAAAUUCUGUUUCGUUAGUAAGUUGGGAGCAAAAGCCAGGAGGACGAUUCUAACGAUAAGAAACACCGUCGGAAGAAAUAAAUGACCUCGUUAUAAGACGCCUAACAGACGAACGAGACGAUACAUCAACUGCGUGGGCGAAAAAUGGAGGUAGAAAACUGUUAUCAUAUCCCACGUUAACCAUUAUCGUAAUCUGACGUUGUGUGUAUUUACAAUACACAAACAGAAAGUAUAAGUACUUAUCUGAACUGACUAAGUGUAAGAGAUAGAAAAGAAAAGAAAAGAAAAGAAAAGAAAAGAAAAGAAACGAAACGAAAAGAAAAGAAAAGCAAAGAAAAGAAACGAAAAGAAAAGAAAGGAAAAAGAAAAGAAACGAAACGAAAGAAAAAAGAAAAACAGUGACGGAUCGUUUCGUGGCAAGUUACCUUCAUCUUUUUCUUUAUCUAAUCAUCUAACUAUAUUUUUACUUACAUACAUCGUUAGGAAAGUUGAAACGUCCAAGAACAAAGAGUUGUUAGAUCUCGUUAAAAGAGUCUACUUUGCUAACUUCAACGUUCACGAAAAAUAACAAACUCAUCGUAUGACGAUCGAUUAAUCUUUUAUCGAAUGACUCUCUCUCUCUCUUUCUAUCUAUCCAUCCAUCUAUCUAUCUACCUUUCUCCCUUUGUCUCUGCUUAAUUAAUCCACGUAGUAUACUUGGUAAGUUCAUUCUUUUUUUUUUGAACUCACUCGAAGCGCACUUAUAACUUUCCCCGUAAUUUCAUCGCAAUUCAAAGUUGGUCUCUCAAUCGUAGUAGAUUUGCGAGCGAUACACCGAGAACUUUCCGUCAACGAUAAAGCGUAUAAUCGGUCGACGAGUACAAGUCCGAUAAAUUGAAAUGACUUUUUCUCCCUCUCUCUUCCUCUCUCUUUCUUCUUUCUCUUUCUGUCUCGCAAAUUGUCUCGAUAAACUUAUUUGUUCUUUUCCAAUGUGGAACGUUAAGAGAAUAGAAUAGAAUGCGAACUAGAAUCGGAAAGUAUUUUAAAUAGUAACGUUAAAUCAAUUGAUAAAAUUAACGAUUCCUUUCGAGACGAUACGAUCGAAACGAUUGCGACGAUAAGAAAUAAUGAACUUCGCGAAAGGAAACGUUAUUCACUUCUCGGAUCAAAUGUCGCGAUGAAAAGAAAUAUCUGAUUGAUAAUGAAAAAGGAAUUGGAUGUAUCC